GAGUCGACCCCUAAGGCGAGGCUGAAAAGCGUAGUCGAUGGGAAACAGGUUAAUAUUCCUGUACUUGGUGUUACUGCGAAGGGGGGACGGAGAAGGCUAGGCUAGCCGGGCGACGGUUGUCCCGGUUUAAGCGUGUAGGGGGUGUGACCUGGUAAAUCCGGUUGCAUAUCAACCCUGAGGCGUGAUGACGAUGCACUACGGUGCAGAAGUAGUUGAUGCCCUGCUUCCAGGAAAAGCCUCUAAGCUCCAGGUAACAUUGAAUCGUACCCCAAACCGACACAGGUGGUCAGGUAGAGAAUACCAAGGCGCUUGAGAGAACUCGGGUGAAGGAACUAGGCAAAAUGGUGCCGUAACUUCGGGAGAAGGCACGCUGGCAUGUAGGUGAAGUCCCUUGCGGAUGGAGCUGAAGCCAGUCGAAGAUACCAGCUGGCUGCAACUGUUUAAUAAAAACACAGCACUGUGCAAACACGAAAGUGGACGUAUACGGUGUGACGCCUGCCCGGUGCUGGAAGGUUAAUUGAUGGGGUCAGCCGCAAGGCGAAGCUCUUGAUCGAAGCCCCAGUAAACGGCGGCCGUAACUAUAACGGUCCUAAGGUAGCGAAAUUCCUUGUCGGGUAAGUUCCGACCUGCACGAAUGGCGUAAUGAUGGCCAGGCUGUCUCCACCCGAGACUCAGUGAAAUUGAACUCGCUGUGAAGAUGCAGUGUACCCGCGGCAAGACGGAAAGACCCCGUGAACCUUUACUAUAGCUUGACACUGAACAUUGAGCCUUGAUGUGUAGGAUAGGUGGGAGGCUUUGAAGCGUGGACGCCAGUCUGCGUGGAGCCAUCCUUGAAAUACCACCCUUUAAUGUUUGAUGUUCUAACUCGGCCCCAUAAUCUGGGGUGAGGACAGUGUCUGGUGGGUAGUUUGACUGGGGCGGUCUCCUCCCAAAGAGUAACGGAGGAGCACGAAGGUUAGCUAAUCACGGUCGGACAUCGUGAGGUUAGUGCAAAGGCAUAAGCUAGCUUGACUGCGAGAGUGACGGCUCGAGCAGGUACGAAAGUAGGUCUUAGUGAUCCGGUGGUUCUGAAUGGAAGGGCCAUCGCUCAACGGAUAAAAGGUACUCCGGGGAUAACAGGCUGAUACCGCCCAAGAGUUCAUAUCGACGGCGGUGUUUGGCACCUCGAUGUCGGCUCAUCACAUCCUGGGGCUGAAGUAGGUCCCAAGGGUAUGGCUGUUCGCCAUUUAAAGUGGUACGCGAGCUGGGUUUAGAACGUCGUGAGACAGUUCGGUCCCUAUCUGCCGUGGGCGUUGGAAGAUUGAGAGGGGUUGCUCCUAGUACGAGAGGACCGGAGUGAACGCACCACUGGUGUUCGGGUUGUCAUGCCAAUGGCAUUGCCCGGUAGCUAAGUGCGGAAAAGAUAAGCGCUGAAAGCAUCUAAGCGCGAAACUUGCCUCAAGAUGAGUCUUCCCUGGGCCUUUAAGGUCCCUGAAGGAACGUUUAAGACUAAGACGUUGA
rnacentral:rRNA from 1 species